GCCCUCGUAGCUCAGCUGGAUAGAGCAGCUCAUUCCUAACGAGCAGGUCGCAGGUUCGAAUCCUGCCGGGGGUGCCU
rnacentral:tRNA from 1 species